UUUGAUCCUGGCUCAGGAUGAACGCUGGCGGCGUGCCUAAUACAUGCAAGUCGAGCGAACUGAUUAGAAGCUUGCUUCUAUGACGUUAGCGGCGGACGGGUGAGUAACACGUGGGCAACCUGCCUGUAAGACUGGGAUAACUUCGGGAAACCGAAGCUAAUACCGGAUAGGAUCUUCUCCUUCAUGGGAGAUGAUUGAAAGAUGGUUUCGGCUAUCACUUACAGAUGGGCCCGCGGUGCAUUAGCUAGUUGGUGAGGUAACGGCUCACCAAGGCAACGAUGCAUAGCCGACCUGAGAGGGUGAUCGGCCACACUGGGACUGAGACACGGCCCAGACUCCUACGGGAGGCAGCAGUAGGGAAUCUUCCGCAAUGGACGAAAGUCUGACGGAGCAACGCCGCGUGAGUGAUGAAGGCUUUCGGGUCGUAAAACUCUGUUGUUAGGGAAGAACAAGUACAAGAGUAACUGCUUGUACCUUGACGGUACCUAACCAGAAAGCCACGGCUAACUACGUGCCAGCAGCCGCGGUAAUACGUAGGUGGCAAGCGUUAUCCGGAAUUAUUGGGCGUAAAGCGCGCGCAGGCGGUUUCUUAAGUCUGAUGUGAAAGCCCACGGCUCAACCGUGGAGGGUCAUUGGAAACUGGGGAACUUGAGUGCAGAAGAGAAAAGCGGAAUUCCACGUGUAGCGGUGAAAUGCGUAGAGAUGUGGAGGAACACCAGUGGCGAAGGCGGCUUUU
rnacentral:rRNA from 2 species